rnacentral:rRNA from 1 species
AUUGAACGCUGGCGGCAUGCCUUACACAUGCAAGUCGAACGGUAACAGGUUUUCGGAUGCUGACGAGUGGCGAACGGGUGAGUAAUAAAUAGGAACGUGCCUAGAAGUGGGGGAUAACUAUUCGAAAGAGUGGCUAAUAACGAAUGAGAUCACAGGAUGAAAGAAGGGGAUGGCAAGCCCUUGUGUAACUAGAGCGGCGGAUGGCCGAUUAGGUAGUUGGUGGGAUAAAAGCUUACCAAGCCGACGAUCUGUAGCUGGUCUGGAGGGACGAUCAGCCACACUAGGAGUGAGACACGGCCCAGGCGCCUACGGGAGUCAGCAGUGGGUAAUUUUGGACAAUUGGCGCAAGCCUGAUCCAGCAAUGCCGCGUGCAGGAUGAAGGCCGUCGGGUUGUAAUGGACUUUUGUCCGGGAGCAAAUGCCUGGUGUUAAUAGCACUGGGAGCUGAGAGUACCGGAAGAAUAAGCACCGGCUAACUACGUGCCAGCCGCCGCCGUAACAC